rnacentral:rRNA from 1 species
UUGAACGCUGGCGGCAUGCUUUACCCCUGCCAGUCGAACGGUAACAGGCCGUAAGGUGCUGACGAGUGGCGAACGGGUGAGUAAUGCAUCGGAACGUGCCCAGUCGUGGGGGAUAACUACUCGAAAGAGUAGCUAAUACCGCAUACGAUCUAUGGAUGAAAGCGGGGGACCGUAAGGCCUCGCGCGAUUGGAGCGGCCGAUGUCAGAUUAGGUAGUUGGUGGGGUAAAGGCUCACCAAGCCAACGAUCUGUAGCUGGUCUGAGAGGACGACCAGCCACACUGGGACUGAGACACGGCCCAGACUCCUACGGGAGGCAGCAGUGGGGAAUUUUGGACAAUGGGCGCAAGCCUGAUCCAGCAAUGCCGCGUGCAGGAAGAAGGCCUUCGGGUUGUAAACUGCUUUUGUACGGAACGAAACGGCUCUGGUUAAUACCCGGGGCUAAUGACGGUACCGUAAGAAUAAGCACCGGCUAACUACGUG